GAGAAGAUGGCGGAAGCGGAGUGAGUGACUAGAUGGUGACUGAUGUCGUAACUAGGGGGGGCGAGUUGGGGCAGCGACACGUUCCCCCAGGGGAAAGCUCAGGGCUCUUUUGCGGGCAGUGUGGGGAAAGAGAGACUCGAGACCCGUCCUAUCGUGGAGGAGCCUGCUAGGCCCGUGUCGCGGGGCGAAGACGAACUCUAGGGUCCAGUUACCCUCCAGGCAGGAGCGCCCCUUCCGCCAUCAGGUCCCGGAUCUGCGCGGCCCUGCGCGCAGGGUCACCCUUGGGACUCCGGGAGCUGGGGUUUUCCGGGGAACGAGCCCGGGUGGGCUCCUCAGGCGCUGUCAUUCCUGCAAGUGGGCCCCGCGGGCAGCCUUGUUACGGCUGCCUGCGCAGGGGCCCGCGGAGGCUGGGUAGGGCAGGGCGGGCACUGCCAGGCCUCCUUCGCCUUCUUCUCCUUCCCGCCCCGGCGCCACCCCAUUCCUCCUCAGCGGGAGAAUCCGACACGCGGGGCUGCCCGCUUCCCUCGUGCCGGAGGCGUGCAGGAGGUGUCCCGGCGUGGGCCUGAGAGCGGCGGGGGCUGCUUGCAGGUCUGGUGAGGCUGAAAACACCCUGAAAGAAAGGUCUUUCCCUCGAGUCUCUGGGUGCAGCGUUGCUGCCUCACACGCGGGCCACAUUCUUGUGUGUCGGUGUGACGGUAUGUUUAGUUAACGACUCCAGAACUUACUGUUUCCUGGGUAGGCCUCUUGUGCACCAGAACUGCUGGCUGUAUUUUGCAGAUUUAAGGACCAUAGUACAGCUAUGGAUACUGAACCAAACCCGGGAACAUCUUCUGUGUCAACAACAACCAGCAGUACCACCACCACCACCAUCACCACUUCCUCCUCUCGAAUGCAGCAGCCACAGAUCUCUGUCUACAGUGGUUCAGACCGACAUGCUGUACAGGUAAUUCAACAGGCAUUGCAUCGGCCCCCCAGCUCAGCUGCUCAGUACCUUCAGCAAAUGUAUGCAGCCCAACAACAGCACUUGAUGCUGCAUACUGCAGCUCUUCAGCAGCAGCAUUUAAGCAGCUCCCAGCUUCAGAGCCUUGCUGCUGUUCAGGCAAGUUUGUCCAGUGGAAGACCAUCUACAUCUCCCACAGGAAGUGUCACACAGCAGUCAAGUAUGUCCCAAACGUCUAUCAACCUCUCCACUUCUCCUACACCUGCACAGUUAAUAAGCCGUUCCCAGGCUUCCAGUUCUACCAGCGGCAGUAUUACCCAACAGACUAUGUUACUAGGGAGUACUUCCCCUACCCUAACGGCAAGCCAAGCUCAAAUGUAUCUCCGAGCUCAAAUGCUGAUUUUCACACCCGCUACCACUGUGGCUGCUGUACAGUCUGACAUUCCUGUUGUCUCGUCGUCAUCGUCAUCUUCCUGUCAGUCUGCAGCUACUCAGGUUCAGAAUUUAACAUUACGCAGCCAGAAGUUGGGUGUAUUAUCUAGCUCACAGAAUGGUCCACCAAAAAGCACUAGUCAAACUCAGUCAUUGACAAUUUGUCAUAACAAAACAACAGUGACCAGUUCUAAAAUCAGCCAACGAGAUCCUUCUCCAGAAAGUAAUAAGAAAGGAGAAAGCCCAAGCCUGGAAUCACGAAGCACAGCUGUCACCCGGACAUCAAGUAUUCACCAGUUAAUAGCACCAGCUUCAUAUUCUCCAAUUCAGCCUCAUUCUCUAAUAAAACAUCAGCAGAUUCCUCUUCAUUCACCACCUUCCAAAGUUUCCCAUCAUCAGCUGAUAUUACAACAGCAGCAACAGCAAAUUCAGCCAAUCACACUUCAGAAUUCAACUCAAGACCCACCCCCAUCCCAGCACUGUAUACCACUCCAGAACCAUGGCCUUCCUCCAGCUCCCAGUAAUGCCCAGUCACAGCAUUGUUCACCGAUUCAGAGUCAUCCCUCUCCUUUAACAGUGUCUCCUAAUCAGUCACAGUCAGCACAGCAGUCUGUAGUGGUGUCUCCUCCACCACCUCAUUCACCAAGUCAGUCUCCUACUAUAAUUAUUCAUCCACAAGCACUUAUUCAGCCACACCCUCUUGUGUCAUCAGCUCUCCAGCCAGGGCCAAAUUUGCAGCAGCCCACUGCUAAUCAGGUGCAACCUACAGCACAGUUGAAUCUUCCAUCCCAUCUUCCACUUCCAGCUUCCCCUGUUGUACACAUUGGCCCAGUUCAGCAGUCUGCCUUGGUAUCCCCAGGCCAGCAGAUUGUCUCUCCAUCACACCAGCAAUAUUCAUCCCUGCAGUCCUCUCCAAUCCCAAUUGCAAGUCCUCCACAGAUGUCGACAUCUCCUCCAGCUCAGAUUCCACCACUGCCCUUGCAGUCUAUGCAGUCUUUACAAGUGCAGCCUGAAAUUCUGUCCCAGGGCCAGGUUUUGGUGCAGAAUGCUUUGGUGUCAGAAGAGGAACUUCCAGCUGCAGAAGCUUUGGUCCAGUUGCCAUUUCAGACUCUUCCUCCUCCACAGACUGUUGCGGUAAACCUACAAGUGCAACCACCAGCACCUGUUGAUCCACCAGUGGGAAUGCAUUUGAACCAGUGUCAUCUGCACAAAGUUUUUUCUCUUAAGGUUUAUCAGGUAGAAGAUGUGUGUGAAGAAGAAAUGCCAGAAGAGUCAGAUGAAUGUGUCCGGAUGGAUAGAACCCCACCACCACCCACUUUGUCUCCAGCAGCUAUAACAGUGGGGAGAGGAGAAGAUUUGACUUCUGAACAUCCUUUGUUAGAGCAAGUGGAAUUACCUGCUGUGGCAUCAGUCAGUGCUUCAGUAAUUAAAUCUCCAUCAGAUCCCUCACAUGUUUCUGUUCCACCACCUCCAUUGUUACUUCCAGCUGCCACCACAAGGAGUAACAGUACAUCUAUGCACAGUAGCAUUCCCAGUAUAGAGAACAAACCUCCACAGGCUAUUGUUAAACCACAGAUCCUAACCCAUGUUAUUGAAGGCUUUGUGAUUCAGGAGGGAUUGGAGCCAUUUCCUGUGAGUCGUUCCUCUUUGCUAAUAGAACAGCCUGUGAAAAAACGGCCUCUUUUGGAUAAUCAGGUGAUAAAUUCAGUGUGUGUUCAGCCAGAGCUACAGAAUAAUACAAAACAUGCGGAUAAUUCAUCUGACACAGAGAUGGAAGACAUGAUUGCUGAAGGUACAAUGUUAGCUGUUCUAAAAAAUUUGCACUUAGUCGUUGGAAUCGUAAGCCUGAUAAUCAAAGUCUUGGGCAUCGUGGCCGUCGUCCAAGUGGCCCUGAUGGGGCAGCGAGAGAACAUAUCCUUAGGCAGCUUCCAAUUACUUAUCCAUCUGCAGAAGAAGACUUGGCUUCUCAUGAAGAUUCUGUGCCAUCUGCUAUGACAACUCGUCUGCGCAGGCAGAGCGAGCGGGAAAGAGAACGUGAGCUUCGGGAUGUGAGAAUUCGGAAAAUGCCUGAGAACAGUGACUUGCUACCAGUUGCACAAACAGAGCCAUCUAUAUGGACAGUUGAUGAUGUCUGGGCCUUCAUCCAUUCUUUGCCUGCACUACUGGGUAUUUUCUCAUACCCCCCAAGUCGAUAAAAACUGACUAGUCCUGCUUCUGCUGUGACACCUCAGCCGGUGAAGAUAUUAAAGGUGCUUUCUUCUCUUCAGUCUGAUUUCUCUCGAGAGGCUGCCAGGAUAUCGCAGAUGAAUUCAGAGCACAGGAGAUUGAUGGACAGGCCCUUCUCUUGCUAAAAGAAGACCAUCUCAUGAGUGCAAUGAAUAUCAAGCUAGGCCCAGCCCUGAAGAUCUGUGCACGCAUCAACUCUCUGAAGGAAUCUUAACAGGAACAUGAAGCCUUGAUAAAACAGCAGUUUUACUCUUCUCACACAAACUUGUAAGGUAAAGGCCUAACUUGGUCUAGAAUAUGACACUUAUUGUGGUGGAUAGCCAAGCACAUUGGGAUCUCCGCAUCAAAUACUGACAUUUCUUCUACAGGUAUAAUAAUUCAUCAUGCAUUUUCAUAAUUAAUAAACAUUGGUAAAAUUAAUUUUACAGGUUACAUGAAACAUUGAAAGACUUGUUACAGAGGGCCAUGAUAUUUUUCAAAGAAAUGUGUUAUACUAGAUAAUUUUUUUAAAGGUGAUGUUUAUCAUUAAUAUAAAGAAUCCUUUUAAAAGUAA